rnacentral:piRNA from 1 species
UAAAACCACACCCACUCUGUGCCUCCUUGAU